ACCAGACUCCUACGGGAGGCAGCAGUGGGGGAUAUUGCACAAUGGGGGGAACCCUGAUGCAGCGACGCCGCGUGGGUGAAGAAGUAUUUCGGUAUGUAAAGCCCUAUCGGCAGGGAAGAAAUUGGACGGUACCUGACUAAGAAGCCCCGGCUAACUACGUGCCAGCAGCCGCGGUAAUACGUAGGGGGCAAGCGUUAUCCGGAUUCACUGGGUGUAAAGGGAGCGUAGACGGCCAUGCAAGCCUGGAGUGAAAGCCCGGGGCCCAACCCCGGGACUGCUCUGGGAACUGUGCGGCUGGAGUGCGGGAGGGGCAGGCGGAAUUCCUGGUGUAGCGGUGAAAUGCGUAGAUAUCAGGAGGAACACCGGUGGCGAAGGCGGCCUGCUGGACUGCAACUGACGUUGAGGCCCGAAAGCGUGGGGAGCAAACAGGAUUAGAUACCCCGGUA
rnacentral:rRNA from 1 species